rnacentral:rRNA from 1 species
CCUACGGGGGGCAGCAGUGAGGAAUAUUGGUCAAUGGACGAGAGUCUGAACCAGCCAAGUAGCGUGAAGGAUGACUGCCCUAUGGGUUGUAAACUUCUUUUAUAUGGGAAUAAAAUGUUCCACGUGUGGGAUUUUGUAUGUACCAUAUGAAUAAGGAUCGGCUAACUCCGUGCCAGCAGCCGCGGUAAUACGGAGGAUACGAGCGUUAUCCGGAUUUAUUGGGUUUAAAGGGAGCGUAGGUGGAUUGUUAAGUCAGUUGUGAAAGUUUGCGGCUCAACCGUAAAAUUGCAGUUGAAACUGGCAGUCUUGAGUGCAGUAGAGGUAGGCGGAAUUCGUGGUGUAGCGGUGAAAUGCUUAGAUAUCACGAAGAACUCCGAUUGCGAAGGCAGUUCACUGGACUGCAACUGACACUGAGGCUCGAAAGUGUGGGUAUCAAACAGGAUUAGAUACCCGGGUAGUC